rnacentral:rRNA from 1 species
AGAACCGUAACACAGGUGCUGCAUGGCUGUCGUCAGCUCGUGUCGUGAGAUGUUGGGUUAAGUCCCGCAACGAGCGCAACCCUUGUCAUUAGUUGCUACAUUUAGUUGGGCACUCUAAUGAGACUGCCGGUGACAAACCGGAGUAAGGUGGGAAUGACGUCAAGUCCUCAUGGCCCUUAUAGGUAGGGCUACACACGUCAUACAAUGGAUGGUACAGAGGGUUGCCAACCCGCGAGGCGGAGCUAAUCCCAUAAAACCAUUCGUAGUCCGGAUCGCAGUCUGCAACUCGACUGCGUGAAGUCGGAAUCGCUAGUAAUCGCGGAUCAGAAUGUCGCGGUGAAUACGUUCCCGGGUCUUGUACACACCGCCCGUCACACCAUGGGAGCGGGUUCUGCCAGAAGUAGUUAGCCUAACCGCAGGNAGUGCGAUUACCACGGCA